rnacentral:rRNA from 1 species
GACGAACGCUGGCGGCGUGCUUAACACAUGCAAGUCGAACGGAAAGGCCUCUUUCGGGGGGUACUCGAGUGGCGAACGGGUGAGUAACACGUGAGUAACCUGCCCUUGACUUGGGAUAACUUCAGGAAACUGGGGCUAAUACCGGAUAGGAGCUCCUGCUGCAUGGUGGGGGUUGGAAAGUUUCGGCGGUUGGGGAUGGACUCGCGGCUUAUCAGCUUGUUGGUGGGGUAGUGGCUUACCAAGGCUUUGACGGGUAGCCGGCCUGAGAGGGUGACCGGCCACAUUGGGACUGAGAUACGGCCCAGACUCCUACGGGAGGCAGCAGUGGGGAAUAUUGCACAAUGGGUGGAAGCCUGAUGCAGCAACGCCGUGUGCGGGAUGACGGCCUUCGGGUUGUAAACCGCUUUCGCUCAUGACGAAGCUUUGUGUGACGGUAGUGGGUAAAGAAGCACCGGCUAACUACGUG